GGCGGUGCCGUCCGGGAGGGGGACGAUGCCGUCGACGGUGGCCUCCGCCCGGCGCACGUUCGGACGGGCCGUCAGAUCGCGGCCGACCAGCGCCUC
rnacentral:tRNA from 1 species